rnacentral:rRNA from 1 species
UACGUAGGGUGCAAGCGUUGUCCGGAAUUAUUGGGCGUAAAGAGCUCGUAGGCGGUUUGUUACGUCGGCUGUGAAAUCCCGAGGCUCAACCUCGGGUCUGCAGUCGAUACGAGCAAACUAGAGUGUUGCAGGGGAGACUGGAAUUCCCGGUGUAGCGGUGAAAUGUGUAGAGAUCGGGAGGAACACCGGUGGCGAAGGCGGGUCUCUGGGCAAUUCCUGACGCUGAGGCGCGAAAGCGUGGGGAGCAAACGGG